GAUACAAAUUAAAGUUGAGGGACAAUGCUGAAAUAACCCCUUUAAGUUGAGGGACAAUGAGUAAAAUUAAGCCCUAAAAUAGAUGUAUGGAAAAAGGAUUACAUAAGGAAUGAGUGGAUUUGUAGGAAGGUGGAAAUGGCAUUAAAUGGAGUUGAGUUGGAGGGACAAUUAUGAUGGCUUGGACAUGUCUAAUAUAAAUUUGUGGAUGAAUUAGCACAAGAAACUGAGAAAAUCCAAGUUAUGUGAGUGAAGAGGCAAAGAGCUCAAAGACAAGACUUUAUGGGAUCAAGAAGGAUUUGGAAUCACUAUAACUUGUUAAAAAUGUAGCCUUAAGCUGAAGAGAAUGGAUGGAAACGGAUUCAUAUGGCAUAUCUCAACUAGAUUGAGGUUGUGGUUGGAUUGAGUUAAGUUGGAGUUUUACGAUGUUUUGUCUAUUGUUACGACAGACUGGGCAGGCUAAGAUUCUUGAAGAUUUGGGAAAUAGUUCCUAAAAUGUUUUUUGUGGGUUGGGGAAGGGGGCUGAUGUGUUCGACAUUUUUUACUAGAUUAGGUACAUACAUGCACUUACUGCUAUGGACAUGCUUAUAAUUUGGGAUAGUCUGCAGGACUGGCUGUUGGUCUGUGUGUGAGAUGCUGUUCUGCUUUAUUCUACAGCAUUCUUUUACUUGCUGCAGAAAGCUUUCAGUUUGAAGAUAAUCUCUGUUUAUCUCACCUCUUUCUCUCUCACUCACAUCAAAAAAAUUCUGAAUUUGGGCAUAGACUAAGCAGACAAGUGUGCUUGAAAUUCUUUACUAGGCUUCAUCUUCACUUUUUGCUUGUUCUAAUUUUUUUUUUCCUGUCUGUGUAGAGGCCUUUUCUGCUCUUAAAGU
rnacentral:misc_RNA from 1 species